CUACCCUGGUUGAUCCUGC
rnacentral:rRNA from 1 species